CAAAAUUUUCAAGACAUGAUAUUAUUUACUAACUAUUUCAAUUCUGAAUGCAAAAAGUCCAGCUGUAUGUAGUGUACCUACCUAUAGUAUGACGAUACGGUGUUCAUAAAAUAGUACGUUUGUGUUUGCAAGCCUCAACUCCCCAUUGGCUUUGGAUCGGAAGAUGGAUAUAAAAUUGCCGUAGAAAGUAAAAUUGUCGUUAUUUUAUUGAUACAAUACAAUCACAUUCUUAAUGUGAUAUUGUAAUUAAUAGCUGCAUUGAAUGCGAUGCUAUUUUGAAUCGUAGAAGGUAUGUGGAUUUUUCUCAUAAUUGCAUCGUCGUCGAUUCGUCGUAUUAUAUCAAUAAUAGCAUUGGAAAAGAAAUAUGCAAAGAUGUAUAGCUAAUGCACGAAAGAAUUUGCCGUUAUAAAACUGCUGUUCAAUUUUUUCAACUUUUAUUCAUUUUUACGAAAAAUGUAAUUACAGAGCGCCUGGUGCUGGAAUGUUGAAAUUGUUGAGAAAGUUCAGAAUAAAUAGAUGAAAUGGCGAUGAAAAUGCGAAAAGUGCUGGAAAAAUUCUGCAUUCGACUUUUGACUCGAAAGUUCUAUACAUUUUUAAAUAAUGUAGCAACGAUGAAGUAAUUUUAUUUAAAAAUUAUUUACCCGCAGAAUUCUACACAAUUUUUCCGCAACGAACGGUGCGUGUAAUUUUGUAUAGUGAGAGAGAAAGAGGAGGGGAGUAAGAGAAAAUUGACUGGUUCGUAACAUACUCGUACACAUAGGCUUUAAUGGCUUCAUCAAAUCGUUUAAUAAAGUUGAGCUUUUUAAUUUUUGGUUCAAAUACCUGCGCCUUUUGAAUAAAAAAUGUUAUGCUGCA